AGAGUUUGAUCCUGGCUCAGAACGAACGCUGGCGGCGUGCCUAACACAUGCAAGUCGAACGGAGUUAGUUGGUAGCACUGAGCUAUCAGCAAAUAGCAGUCAGCCAAGAAGGAAUUAAGUCCUUAAUGCUGAAAGCUUAUGAGCUGACAGCUGAGAGCUAUCAGCUAACUUAGUGGCGGACGGGUGAGUAACACGUAGGUAACCAACCCUCAAGCGGGGGACAACAUCGGGAAACCGGUGCUAAUACCGCAUAAGCUCACGGACUGGGAUGUUUGUGAGAAAAGGAGCAAUUCACUUGAGGAUGGGCCUGCGGCCUAUCAGGUAGUUGGUAAGGUAAUGGCUUACCAAGCCUAAGACGGGUAGCCGGACUGAGAGGUUGAACGGCCACACUGGAACUGAGACACGGUCCAGACUCCUACGGGAGGCAGCAGUGGGGAAUUUUGCGCAAUGGGGGAAACCCUGACGCAGCGACGCCGCGUGGAGGAUGAAGGUCUUCGGAUUGUAAACUCCUUUUGUCGGGGAAGAUAAUGACGGUACCCGAUGAAUAAGCCACGGCUAACUCUGUGCCAGCAGCCGCGGUAAGACAGAGGUGGCAAGCGUUGUUCGGAAUUACUGGGCUUAAAGGGCGCGUAGGCGGUGGAGUAAGUCUGAGGUGGAAGAUUAGGGCUUAACCCUAAAAUUGCCUUGGAAACUGCAUCACUUGAGUAAGCGAGGGGAUGGC
rnacentral:rRNA from 1 species